rnacentral:rRNA from 1 species
AGAGUUUGAUCCUGGCUCAGAUUGAACGCUGGCGGCAUGCCUUACACAUGCAAGUCGAACGGCAGCACGGGAGCUUGCUCCUGGUGGCGAGUGGCGAACGGGUGAGUAAUAUAUCGGAACGUACCCUAGAGUGGGGGAUAACGUAGCGAAAGUUGCGCUAAUACCGCAUACGAUCUACGGAUGAAAGUGGGGGAUCGCAAGACCUCAUGCUCAUGGAGCGGCCGAUAUCUGAUUAGCUAGUUGGUAGGGUAAAAGCCUACCAAGGCUUCGAUCAGUAGCUGGUCUGAGAGGACGACCAGCCACACUGGAACUGAGACACGGUCCAGACUCCUACGGGAGGCAGCAGUGGGGAAUUUUGGACAAUGGGCGCAAGCCUGAUCCAGCAAUGCCGCGUGAGUGAAGAAGGCCUUCGGGUUGUAAAGCUCUUUUGUCAGGGAAGAAACGGUGGACUCUAAUACAGAUCAUUAAUGACGGUACCUGAAGAAUAAGCACCGGCUAACUACGUGCCAGCAGCCGCGGUAAUACGUAGGGUGCAAGCGUUAAUCGGAAUUACUGGGCGUAAAGCGUGCGCAGGCGGUUGUGCAAGACAGAUGUGAAAUCCCCGGGCUCAACCUGGGAAUUGCAUUUGUGACUGCACGGCUAGAGUGUGUCAGAGGGGGGUAGAAUUCCACGUGUAGCAGUGAAAUGCGUAGAGAUGUGGAGGAAUACCGAUGGCGAAGGCAGCCCCCUGGGAUAACACUGACGCUCAUGCACGAAAGCGUGGGGAGCAAACAGGAUUAGAUACCCUGGUAGUCCACGCCCUAAACGAUGUCUACUAGUUGUUGGGUCUUAAUUGACUUAGUAACGCAGCUAACGCGUGAAGUAGACCGCCUGGGGAGUACGGUCGCAAGAUUAAAACUCAAAGGAAUUGACGGGGACCCGCACAAGCGGUGGAUGAUGUGGAUUAAUUCGAUGCAACGCGAAAAACCUUACCUACCCUUGACAUGUACGGAAUCCCUGAGAGAUUAGGGAGUGCUCGAAAGAGAGCCGUAACACAGGUGCUGCAUGGCUGUCGUCAGCUCGUGUCGCGAGAUGUUGGGUUAAGUCCCGCAACGAGCGCAACCCUUGUCAUUAGUUGCUACGAAAGGGCACUCUAAUGAGACUGCCGGUGACAAACCGGAGGAAGGUGGGGAUGACGUCAAAUCCUCAUGGCCCUUAUGGGUAGUGCUUCACACGCCAUACAAUGGUACAUACAGAGGGCCGCCAACCCGCGAGGGGGAGCUAAUCCCAGAAAGUGUAUCGUAGUCCGGAUUGUAGUCUGCAACUCGACUACAUGAAGUUGGAAUCGCUAGUAAUCGCGGAUCAGCAUGUCGCGGUGAAUACGUUCCCGGGUCUUGUACACACCGCCCGUCACACCAUGGGAGCGGGUUUCACCAGAAGUAGGUAGCCUAACCGUAAGGAGGGCGCUUACCACGGUGGGAUUCGUGACUGGGGUGAAGUCGUAACAAGGUA